rnacentral:hammerhead_ribozyme from 1 species
AUUCGUCUGACGAGCCCCAAAUAGGACGAAACGCAGGUCCUGGAU